rnacentral:lncRNA from 1 species
GGGCAUGUAUCUCCUUUUUCAUUGCAUCAAUCCAUUCGGGGUUGCCUUUGGCUUCUUCAUUAGACUUAGGUUUUUUAUUGGCAGUUAUAGCAAGAAUUCAAAUGUUUAUUUGAAAGAGAUUUAUAGGAUAAGACACUUUCAAUCGGAUAAGGAGUAAUCAAACCNUUCUUAGCACAUAACUGGGUAGAUGGAGAUUGAUCACCUUGUUGCACAUAGUUCUUUAGGUGUUCUGGAGCUUUUCUAAUUAUGCUGGAUCUCCUUUGCANGUUUCCUUGUUCCUGUUCUGCAGGAUUAAUGUCCUCAGUGGUAGUAUUCUCCCUAGUAGGUCUUUCAUUAGCAGAGUUAUUCUGAAUAGGAUUUAAAAUUCCUCUUUCAUUCUCGGCAAGGCUCUUUUCAUAGCUGCAAGCAAUAUCAUCAACAAAAAAUAUGUCUUCUUUAUCUAUAUUACGCCUACUUAUCCCUUCUUGUUUAUCUUUAUAUGGAAAAAUAUUUUCAUAAAAUACAACAUUUCUACUUAUGAAUAUCUCUCUGNN